rnacentral:rRNA from 1 species
GUGCCAGCAGCUGCGGUAAUACGGAGGGGGCUAGCGUUGUUCGGAAUUACUGGGCGUAAAGCGCACGUAGGCGGACCAGAAAGUUGGGGGUGAAAUCCCGGGGCUCAACCCCGGAACUGCCUUCAAAACUCCUGGUCUUGAGGUCGAGAGAGGUGAGUGGAAUUCCGAGUGUAGAGGUGAAAUUCGUAGAUAUUCGGAGGAACACCAGUGGCGAAGGCGGCUCACUGGCUCGAUACUGACGCUGAGGUGCGAAAGCGUGGGGAGCAAACAGGAUUAGAUACCCCUGGUAGUCCACGCCGUAAACGAUGAAUGCCAGUCGUCGGGUUGCAUGCAAUUCGGUGACACACCUAACGGAUUAAGCAUUCCGCCUGGGGAGUACGGUCGCAAGAUUAAAACUCAAAGGAAUUGACGGGGCCCGCACAAGCGGUGGAGCAUGUGGUUAAUUCGAAGCAACGCGCAGAACCUUACAACCCUUGACAUCGAGAUCGCGGUUACCAGAGAUGGUUUCCUCGAGUUCGGCUGGAUCUCAGACAGGUCG